GACGAACGCUGGCGGCGUGCCUAAUACAUGCAAGUCGAGCGGAUCGAUGGAAGCUUGCUUCCUGAGAUCAGCGGCGGACGGGUGAGUAACACGUGGGCAACCUGCCCCUAAGAUCGGGAUAACUUCGGGAAACCGGAGCUAAUACCGGAUAAGACUUUUCUUUACAUGAAGGGAAGUGGAAAGACGGUUUCGGCUGUCACUUAGGGAUGGGCCCGCGGCGCAUUAGCUAGUUGGUGAGGUAACGGCUCACCAAGGCCACGAUGCGUAGCCGACCUGAGAGGGUGAUCGGCCACACGGGGACUGAGACACGGCCCAGACUCCUACGGGAGGCAGCAGUAGGGAAUCUUCCGCAAUGGACGAAAGUCUGUCGGAGCAACGCCGCGUGAGUGAAGAAGGUUUUCGGAUCGUAAAACUCUGUUGUCAGGGAAGAACAAGUACCAUAGUAACUGAUGGUACCUUGACGGUACCUGACCAGAAAGCCACGGCUAACUACGUGCCAGCCGCCGCUGUAAGAC
rnacentral:rRNA from 1 species